UAAUUUUUGGGGAGCACUCAUGACUUUGCUCAAGUAAAUUUGAGAGGCAAAUAUUGUACUCUUUACUCCGCUACAUUUCUAUCCAUAACCGUGAGUACCUGUUACUUCUUCUAAAAAUUAAAAAAUAAAAGGAGAAAAGAAAAAUCUCGGAAACCCUACAUUUGUUGUUUCCCUCUCAAGCGUGAUUGGAUAGUGCAGGCGCCACUGAUUAGGACAGCCUUCAGCCUAUCAGCAAUCACCUUCGCUUUCCGCCAAAGUCUACUCCAUGGUCAGAUUUAGAUGAGACGAUUGUUGACUUGAUUGAUGAAAAAACAGAGAAACUCACACAUACAUACAAUUGUUAGCUGAAUUUUCUUUUCUGAUAUUACAUAUUUAAGUAAGCUGAGCAAUUGUUUUUAUGUUCUUGAGUAUACUGUUAUACUGUAUACUAUUGUGCUAUUGCCUUGUGGGCAAGUGAGAAAUGUUAAAUAAAGCAACAUGGUAAAAAGAUGAAAAUGACUUGAUUUUACUUUCAAUUCCUUUUACAUUCUCCAAGGUAUUAACAUUUUUCAUAACUCCAUGUAGGACGUUUCUAUACAUAAAUGUAAGCACUGUGGCAAUAUUAGUUACGCAAUAUUUAGAAAAUGUACUCUUGUACUCUUCAUACUCAAGUACUUUUAAAAACAAGUACUUCAGUAAUUUUACUUAAGUAGACAUCUGACUGUAGUAAUUUUACUUGUACUCUGUCCGCCUCUGGUAGGUACUCUGUAGUUUACUGUAGUACACUGUAGUUAGCUAAAGUACACUGUAGUUUACUGUAGUACACUAUAGUUUACUGUAGUACACUGUAGUUUACUGUGGUACACUGUCGUUUACUGUUGUACACUGUAGUUUACUGCGGUACGCUGUAGUACACUGUAGUUUACUGUGGUAAACUGUAGUACACUGUAGUUUCAAUGACGUGCAGUCCUCCAGCAUUCCUCUACUCUGAAACAAGUGCUUGUAAGCGUGCUGCUAACAUAUCCAUGGUAGCCUAGCCUCCAUGUGCUGCGUGGCUCAUCAAUGCAGAAACAGGACGUCAGCAACACUCCUUUACUGGGAAUUCAAGCUAGCACUGAUCAAUAGCAUAGCAUCUGCCUCAGAGAGCUGGCUUCACAUGAAGAAGAUCAAUACCACCAUUGAUUGAAUGCUAACCAUUUGUUUUCAAUAAAUGCAGUUUUCAAGCGCUACCAAUGACAUUGUGGAUGUGUUCUGUGUGUUAUUUUAGGAUUAUAGUGAACGAAAGGUAUGAAUCCAAACACACACACACAAACACCAACACACACACACCCUCUAUCACUCUCUUCAUAAUCCCUUUGGGGUUCUAUCUCUUUCUGACACCUCUCUCUCUCUCUCUCUCUCUCUCUCUCUCUCUCUCUCUCUCUCUCUCUCUCUCUCUCUCUCUCUCUCUCUCUCUCUCUCUCUCUCUCUCUCUCUCUCUCUCUCUCUCUCUCUCAGGUCCAGCUAUUGAUCAGGUGUAGUGAUGUCAUAUUCAAUUAUUGAUCAGGUCCAGCUGUUGAUCAGGUCUGGUGAUGUCAAGUUUAGUUAUUGAUCUGUUCUGUUCAUUGAUAAAGUAUAGUGAUGUCAUAUUUAGCUUUUGAUCAGGUCUAGUUAUUGGGGAGACGGAGGGAGGGAGGGAGAGAGAGAGAGAGAGAGAGAGAGAGAGAGAGAGAGAGAGAGAGGGAGA
ensembl:lncRNA